CGCAGUCCAGGGCGCGAGGCGUGAGGCGUCUCGAGGCGAGGUUGCGUUCUGCUGGCCGCGCGCCAUUUCCUGUCACAACCGGGUGAUUUCACAGCAAUUUGUGGCGUUCAUCUCAGUGGACGAGAGACAUUUUAACCUGGGAAGUCUUGUGGAGUACAGGGCAGGCCGAUUUGGGGUUCGUUGCGGAGCACUAAAUUCUUGGAAGGAGGGCUUAUUUUCAGGCAAUGGCGAUGUGUGUGUGUUUUGUGUGUGAGUGAACAAGAAAUAAAAGAUUCCCAUGAUGAAGAUUUUCCAGGAGAGACUUUGAGUUAAAGAAGGCUUUUUAUACUUGACAAGUGUUGUCAUCUGUAAUGAAGAUCACUGAAAAACAGAAGAUUGAAUAAAGCCUUGUAACAUUGGACCUGGAUAGGAGAUUUAGAAAAGAAAAUUACUCACUUUGGUUUUAGUGUUUCAAUUUCAUAAUAUUUAUUCUUUUGAAUAAAUUUAAGGAGUAGAAAUUAAAAUUCAGUGCUAUACUAAC